rnacentral:lncRNA from 1 species
GGAGAGCAGCAAGAGAAAGAAAGAGAGAGGCAAGCGAAAUUCCUGAAUGGAUAGACAGAUGCUACGUCAUCGGAGCUGCAUCCUCCACUCCACAAGAGGCUAGGAGCUGGGGGGAGAGAGGCAGUCCAGCCGCAGGGGCCACCCGAACAGUCUCUCCUCCUCACAGAAGCCUGGAGCUGGGCAUCCAAGAAGAAGCAGCCUCAUUUGUUUUCUGGUGUCAUCGUAGGUGGCCACCUAUGGCUUUUGGGCUUCUCACCUGGGGCGGGUGGGUUCUGCACCACCCUCCCACCCUCCUUCCUCCGUGUGGACGAUAGAGCCACAUCCAGCACCACGGACAGCUCCCGGGCGCCUUCAUCUCCUCGUCCUCCAGGCAGCACAAGCCAUUGUGGAAUCUCCACCAGGUGUACAGAACGGUGCCUCUGCGUCCUGCCACUCAGGACCUCUCAAGUCCCCGAUGUGAUGGCUCCUCAGCAUGAUCAGGAACCAAAAAGAAGAAUGUACUUCAUCUGGUUGGGCUGGAUUCCCUCUGAUAAGCCUUCCCAGUUGACUGAAAGAUGAGGCUAGGCUCUAGCAAGUUGAAGUCAAACCAGCUCCUUCAAGAAGCUUUGAGCAGAAUGAAGUGGGGAGGACCCAGCUUCCAGCCCAGGAAGCCCACUGUACCUGGAGCCAUCUGGGAUAAGACUUUGACCCAUGACUCCCAUAUCCACAGCCUGUCCAUCCUAGCCCAUCCCAGUUUAUCCUGUAUCAUUUGAGCUGGGAUUCCCACAUCCUCUGAGUUGGAAGUCCCAUCUCAAGUCUUCAAUAAAGACUCUUGAAUAUUGAAUCACAUUAAAAAAAAAA